rnacentral:rRNA from 1 species
GAUGAACGCUGGCGGCGUGCCUAAUACAUGCAAGUCGAGCGAACAGAUGAGGAGCUUGCUCCUCUGACGUUAGCGGCGGACGGGUGAGUAACGCGUGGAUAACCUACCUAUAAGACUGGGAUAACUUCGGGAAACCGGAGCUAAUACCGGAUAAUAUAUUGAACCGCAUGGUUCAAUAGUGAAAGACGGUUUUGCUGUCACUUAUAGAUGGAUCCGCGCCGCAUUAGCUAGUUGGUAAGGUAACGGCUUACCAAGGCAACGAUGCGUAGCCGACCUGAGAGGGUGAUCGGCCACACUGGAACUGAGACACGGUCCAGACUCCUACGGGAGGCAGCAGUAGGGAAUCUUCCGCAAUGGGCGAAAGCCUGACGGAGCAACGCCGCGUGAGUGAUGAAGGUCUUCGGAUCGUAAAACUCUGUUAUUAGGGAAGAACAAAUGUGUAAGUAACUAUGCAUGUCUUGACGGUACCUAAUCAGAAAGCCACGGCUAACUACGUG